rfam:Dipodomys ordii contig_98205, whole genome shotgun sequence.
UCAAAGGCUCUUUUCAGAGCCACCCACUGUUUCAAAUGAAGAGUUG